GGCCUACCAUGGUUUUAACGGGUAACGGGGAAUUAGGGUUCGAUUCCGGAGAGGGAGCCUGAGAAACGGCUACCACAUCCAAGGAAGGCAGCAGGCGCGCAAAUUACCCAAUCCCGAUACGGGGAGGUAGUGACAAUAAAUAACAAUACGGGGCUCUUUCGGGUCUCGUAAUUGGAAUGAGUACAAUUUAAAUCCCUUAACGAGGAACAAUUGGAGGGCAAGUCUGGUGCCAGCAGCCGCGGUAAUUCCAGCUCCAAUAGCGUAUAUUAAAGUUGUUGCAGUUAAAAAGCUCGUAGUUGAACUUCGGAAUCAAUGGAUUGGUCAUGCCGUUGGUAUGUACUGGUCAUAUUGGUUCUCACCUUCUAAGGAACCAUAAUGUCAUUCAUUUGAUGUUUUGGGGAAUUAGGACUGUUACCUUGAAAAAAUUAGAGUGUUUAAAGCAGGCUAACGCUUGAAUACAUUAGCAUGGAAUAAUAAAAUAGGACGGCAUGAUUCUAUUUUGUUGGUUUCUAGGAUCACCGUAAUGAUUAAUAGGGAUAGUUGGGGGCAUUAGUAUUCAAUUGUCAGAGGUGAAAUUCUUGGAUUUAUUGAAGACUAACUACUGCGAAAGCAUUUGCCAAGGAUGUUUUCAUUAAUCAAGAACGAAAGUUAGGGGAUCGAAGACGAUCAGAUACCGUCGUAGUCUUAACCAUAAACUAUGCCGACUAGGAAUCAGACGAUGUUAAUUUUUUAAUGACUCGUUUGGCACCUUACG
rnacentral:rRNA from 1 species